rnacentral:misc_RNA from 1 species
GCGAAAUCUUUUGUCAAGAAGGGCUGUGGCUGGCCUCCUCCAAGGGGGGGCAUGUGCACGCCUGGAUUGCAAACCACCCUCCACACACCUGUGCACAUCCCUUGUGGCUAUUGCGAUGCUGAUGAUACGGAUGUUUCCGAUUCUGACGUGCCCUUGGCCGCGAGCUGUUUUAUCACACACACUUUUACAAGUAUUAGAAUGUAAUCUGCAGUAGCGUGUAAAAGCGCGAAAUGAA